AACGAACGCUGGCGGCAUGCCUAACACAUGCAAGUCGAACGAGACCUUCGGGUCUAGUGGCGCAAGGGUGCGUAACGCGUGGGAACCUGCCCUUAGGUUCGGAAUAACUCCCCGUACGGGGUGCUAAUACCGGAUACUGUCUUCGGACCAAAGAUUUCUCGCCUUUGGUUGGGCCCGCGUUGGAUUAGCUAGUUGGUAGGGUAAAAGCCUACCAAGGCGACGAUCCAUAGCUGGUCUGAGAGGAUGAGCAGCCACACUGGGACUGAGACACGGCCCAGACUCCUACGGGAGGCAGCAGUGUGGAAUAUUGGACAAUGGGCGAAAGCCAGAUCCAGCAAUGCCGCGUGAGUGAUGAAGGCCUUAGGGUUGUAAAGCUCUUUUACCCGGGAUGAUAAUGACAGUACCGGGAGAAUAAGCUCCGGCUAACUCCGUG
rnacentral:rRNA from 1 species